GACGAACGCUGGCGGCGUGCUUAACACAUGCAAGUCGAACGGUAAGGCCCUUCGGGGUACACGAGUGGCGAACGGGUGAGUAACACGUGGGUGAUCUGCCCUGCACUUCGGGAUAAGCCUGGGAAACUGGGUCUAAUACCGGAUAGGACCCUGGGAUGCAUGUCCUGGGGUGGAAAGCUUUUGCGGUGUGGGAUGGGACCGCGGCUUAUCAGCUCGUUGGUGGGGUGAUGGCCUACCAAGGCGACGACGGGUAGCCGGCCUGCGAGGGUGACCGGCCACACGGGGACUGAGAUACGGACCAGACUGCUACGGGAGGCAUCAGUGGGGAAUAUUGCACAAUGGGCGCAAGCCUGAUGCAGCGACGCAGCGUGAGGGAUGACGGCCUUCGGGUUGUAAACCUCUUUCAGCACCGACGAAGCGCAAGUGACGGUAGGUGCAGAAGAAGGACCGGCCAACUACGUGCCAGCCGCCGCUGUAA
rnacentral:rRNA from 1 species